UGGCCACCAGCAUCUCGGAGGACUUGCACUGUCAGUGCACUGAUGCGUAAGGCAACGUGCGCAGGCUGCUGGCUGGCUCGCUCUCUUCCGGGAAGAGACGCCGAGGUGCUGUGUUACCAACCCAUAGGAAGGGAAAUCUCACACUGGGACGGGGAGACGGAAUGAGCCCAGAUAUGUCCCAUCCCGCCGAAGUCAUCUCUUUCCCAAGCGGAAAAGUCCCAAGUCUCCUGAUGUGAAGCGCAGAGCUCUCUUUGUUUGAAACCAGGAGGCAUAGAGGCGCGCUGAUAAAACCACAGAGGUCAUGAUUUUAUAGAUCAGUCCCAUGCCCCCCGAAGUUGUCUCUUUCCCCAGCUGAAAAGUCCCAAGUCUCCUGACGUGAAGUGCAGUGCUCUCUUUAUUUGAAACCAGGAGGCACAGGGGCGCGCCGAUAAAACUGAACAACACAAACCCAAUCGAUCCGACUUUUUGGAGGCAGAAAACUAAAGUCUUGGGCUUGUCUCCUCCCAGCGAGGUGACCGCCUCGCUCCUUGUCAGCAGGCUGUGCUGCAAAUGGGUUCCCUUUGUAUUUGGGAUUGUGUCUGCCUUGCCUUUCACUUUUGUUCUUUUUAUUGUUCCUUUGUCUUCCUGCCCUUGUUUGAACAAUGGUGACCCCCGUGGAACCAAUAAUAACACGUUUCAGAUCCCUCAUUAAAA